AGCUACGGGUUCAGCCCCGUCAGUCCCGACAAAUACA
rnacentral:tRNA from 1 species